UACGGAGGGUGCAAGCGUUAUCCGGAUUUACUGGGUUUAAAGGGUGCGUAGGUGGGUAAGUAAGUCAGUGGUGAAAUCUUCGAGCUUAACUCGGAAACUGCCAUUGAUACUAUUUAUCUUGAGUACUUUGGAGGUAAGCGGAAUAUGUCAUGUAGCGGUGAAAUGCUUAGAUAUGACAUAGAACACCAAUUGCGAAGGCAGCUUACUACACAGUUAUUGACGCUGAGGCACGAAAGCGUGGGGAUCAAACAGG
rnacentral:rRNA from 1 species